rnacentral:rRNA from 1 species
GAUGAACGCUAGCGGCAGGCCUAAUACAUGCAAGUCGAACGCGGGGGUAGCAAUACCUCGAGUGGCGCACGGGUGCGUAACGCGUAACCAACCUGCCCUUGACUGGGGGAUAGCCCGCCGAAAGGCGGAUUAAUACCGCAUAAACCAGCAGCCUGGCAUCAGGCAACUGGUAAAGAUUUAUUGGUCAAGGAUGGGGUCGCGUGACAUUAGCUAGUUGGCGGGGUAACGGCCCACCAAGGCGACGAUGUCUAGGGGACCUGAGAGGGUGAUCCCCCACACUGGCACUGGGAUACGGGCCAGACUCCUACGGGAGGCAGCAGUAGGGAAUAUUGGGCAAUGGGCGAGAGCCUGACCCAGCCAUGCCGCGUGCCGGAUGAAGGCCUUCUGGGUUGUAAACGGCUUUUCUCAGGGAAGAAAACGACCAUGCGUGGUACACUGACGGUACCUGAGGAAUAAGCACCGGCUAACUCCGUGCCAGCCGCCGCGGUAACAC